rnacentral:rRNA from 1 species
AGUGAACGCUGGCGGUAGGCCUAACACAUGCAAGUCGAACGGCAGCACAGGAGAGCUUGCUCUCUGGGUGGCGAGUGGCGGACGGGUGAGGAAUACAUCGGAAUCUACUCUGUCGUGGGGGAUAACGUAGGGAAACUUACGCUAAUACCGCAUACGACCUACGGGUGAAAGCAGGGGACCUUCGGGCCUUGCGCGAUUGAAUGAGCCGAUGUCGGAUUAGCUAGUUGGCGGGGUAAAGGCCCACCAAGGCGACGAUCCGUAGCUGGUCUGCGAGGAUGAUCAGCCACACUGGAACUGAGACACGUUCCAGAUUCCUACGGGAGGCAGCAGUGGGGAAUAUUGGACAAUGGGCGCAAGCCUGAUCCAGCCAUACCGCGUGGGUGAAGAAGGCCUUCGGGUUGUAAAGCCCUUUUGUUGGGAAAGAAAUCCAGCUGGCUAAUACCCGGUUGGGAUGACGGUACCCAAAGAAUAAGCACCGGCUAACUUCGUGCCAGCCGCCGCGGUAA